rnacentral:rRNA from 1 species
GAUGAACGCUGGCGGCGUGCCUAAUACAUGCAAGUCGAGCGAACGGACGAGGAGCUUGCUCCUCUGACGUUAGCGGCGGACGGGUGAGUAACACGUGGAUAACCUACCUAUAAGACUGGGAUAACUUCGGGAAACCGGAGCUAAUACCGGAUAAUAUAUUGAACCGCAUGGUUCAAUAGUGAAAGACGGUUUUGCUGUCACUUAUAGAUGGAUCCGCGCCGCAUUAGCUAGUUGGUAAGGUAACGGCUUACCAAGGCAACGAUGCGUAGCCGACCUGAGAGGGUGAUCGGCCACACUGGAACUGAGACACGAUCCAGACUCCUACGGGAGGCAGCAGUAGGGAAUCUUCCGCAAUGGGCGAAAGCUUGACGGAGCAACGCCGCGUGAGUGAUGAAGGUCUUCGGAUCGUAAAACUCUGUUAUUAGGGAAGAACAAAUGUGUAAGUAACUAUGCACGUCUUGACGGUACCUAAUCAGAAAGCCACGGCUAACUACGUG